rnacentral:rRNA from 1 species
UACGUAGGGUGCAAGCGUUGUCCGGAAUUAUUGGGCGUAAAGAGCUCGUAGGCGGCUUGUCGUGUCGACUGUGAAAAACCCGCGGCUCAACCGUGUGGUCUGCAGUCGAUACGGGCAGGCUAGAGUUCGGUAGGGGAGACUGGAAUUCCUGGUGUAGCGGUGAAAAUGCGUAGAUAUCAGGAGGAACACCGGUGGCGAAGGCGGAUCUCUGGGCCUUACCUGACGCUCAGGCGCGAAAGCUAGGGGGAGCGAACAGG